rnacentral:rRNA from 1 species
ACGUAGGGUGCAAGCGUUGUCCGGAAUCAUUGGGCGUAAAGAGCGUGUAGGCGGCCCGAUCAGUCCGCUGUAAAAGUCCAGGGCUCAACCCUGGGAGGCCGGUGGAUACUGUCGGGCUAGAGUCCGGAAGAGGCGAGUGGAAUUCCUGGUGUAGCGGUGAAAUGCGCAGAUAUCAGGAGGAACACCAAUGGCGAAGGCAGCUCGCUGGGACGGUACUGACGCUGAGACGCGAAAGCGUGGGGAGCAAACAGGAUUAGAUACCCUGGUAGUCCACGCUGUAAACGAUGGGCACUAGGUGCGGGAGGUGUCGACUCCUCCCGUGCCGAAGCUAACGCAUUAAGUGCCCCGCCUGGGGAGUACGGCCGCAAGGCUA